GAUGAACGCUGGCGGCGUGCCUAAUACAUGCAAGUCGAGCGAACAGACGAGGAGCUUGCUCCUCUGACGUUAGCGGCGGACGGGUGAGUAACACGUGGAUAACCUACCUAUAAGACUGGGAUAACUUCGGGAAACCGGAGCUAAUACCGGAUAAUAUAUUGAACCGCAUGGUUCAAUAGUGAAAGACGGUUUUGCUGUCACUUAUAGAUGGAUCCGCGCCGCAUUAGCUAGUUGGUAAGGUAACGGCUUACCAAGGCAACGAUGCGUAGCCGACCUGAGAGGGUGAUCGGCCACACUGGAACUGAGACACGGUCCAGACUCCUACGGGAGGCAGCAGUAGGGAAUCUUCGGCAAUGGGCGAAAGCCUGACGGAGCAACGCCGCGUGAGUGAUGAAGGUCUUCGGAUCGUAAAACUCUGUUAUUAGGGAAGAACAAAUGUGUAAGUAACUAUGCACGUCUUGACGGUACCUAAGCAGAAAGCCACGGCUAACUACGU
rnacentral:rRNA from 1 species